rnacentral:rRNA from 1 species
CCAAGGCUUGACAUACACCGGUAACGCCCAGAGAUGGUGCCCCUUUGUGUCGGUGUACAGGUGGUGCAUGGUUGUCGUCAGCUCGUGUCGUGAGAUGUUGGGUUAAGUCCCGCAACGAGCGCAACCCUCGUCCUAUGUUGCCAGCGGGUCAUGCCGGGGACUCAUGGGAGACUGCCGGGGUCAACUCGGAGGAAGGUGGGAUGACGUCAAAUCAUCAUGCCCCUUAUGUCUUGGGCUUCACGCAUGCUACAAUGGCCGGUACAAAGGGCUGCGAUACCGCGAGGUGGAGCCAAUCCCAUAAAGCCAUUCGUAGUCCGGAUCGCAGUCUGCAACUCGACUGCGUGAAGUCGGAAUCGCUAGUAAUCGUGGAUCAGCAUGUCGCGGUGAAUACGUUCCCGGGUCUU